rnacentral:rRNA from 1 species
GAUGAACGCUAGCGGCAGGCCUAACACAUGCAAGUCGAGGGGUAUCCCGCUUUCGGGCGGGAGAGACCGGCGCACGGGUGCGUAACGCGUAUGCAACCUACCCUGUACUGGGGGAUAGCCCGGAGAAAUUCGGAUUAACACCCCAUAGUACUAAUGAAUGGCAUAAUUUAUUAGUUAAAGGUUACGGUACAGGAUGGGCAUGAGUCCUAUUAGCUAGAUGGUAAGGUAACGGCUUACCAUGGAUACGAUAGGUAGGGGGCCUGAGAGGGUGGUCCCCCACACUGGUACUGAGACACGGACCAGACUCCUACGGGAGGCAGCAGUGAGGAAUAUUGGUCAAUGGGCGCAAGCCUGAACCAGCCAUGCCGCGUGCAGGAAGACGGUCCUAUGGAUUGUAAACUGCUUUUAUUUGGGAAUAAACCUCUUUACGUGUAGAGAGCUGAAGGUACCAAAUGAAUAAGCACCGGCUAACUCCGCGCCAGCAGCCGCGGUAA